rnacentral:rRNA from 1 species
GUUGGGCGCUAGGUGUGGGGCUCAUUCCACGAGUUCCGUGCCGCAGCUAACGCAUUAAGCGCCCCGCCUGGGGAGUACGGCCGCAAGGCUAAAACUCAAAGGAAUUGACGGGGGCCCGCACAAGCGGCGGAGCAUGUUGCUUAAUUCGAUGCAACGCGAAGAACCUUACCUAGGCUUGACAUGCACGGAAAUCCUCCAGAGAUGGUGGGUCCGUAAGGGCCGUGCACAGGUGGUGCAUGGCUGUCGUCAG